rnacentral:lncRNA from 1 species
CAAUCAAUGGUCAAGGUAUUGGCAUGCAAGAACUUGCAAAGUGAAAAUGGAGGCGCUUCCCCAGCCCCUCUUCCCUGGCCCGGAGGACAGCUUGCCAGCCGUGCAUUCAUGUCCGUUUGGCACCCAGACAAAUGUUCCCUGGAGCACAGACUGAAACCACCAACCGAUAUCACGUGAGACGCCAGCCAAACCCUGACCUUGCUCUCUGCAGAUGCCACAUUUGAAUCUUACUGCUCCCACUCUGCUGGUAUCUACUAGCCCCAAACCACUCUUCUCCUCUUGGCUUAUGAACAUGGACAGCUCCGUACAAUUCCAUCUUGGCCCAAGUCACCUUCUUGCCCUUGAGAGAGAAGGGCUGCUGCCCAGGGAAUGCUUCACAAUCGUAUCCAGGAGGCAGGGCCUGGGAUCUGGCCUGGCCUCUACUUUGGAUCAACUCAUUAUUCGGAAGAAACGAUGUGUCAUUCCCAUUAUUUAUGUUUCACUGCGGCCAAAGUGUCUGGACCUCGUUUUAGUAAGCACCAUCAUUUCAAGCCAUUCAGUAUUAAUCUCCCUGCUAGCAUCUUUCCUGUUCCGUGUGCUGUUCGCUAUUUGCUUUUAUGUUUUCUGCAGAGUGUUCAUGAAAGGAUAAUCUUUUACAAAGCAGACAGAAUUUGUGUGUAUAAACUGCCCUGUUUGAAUGCCUCAUUGAUACACCAUCUAAAAACGGAAGUGUUCAGCAAGAUUAGCAAAGCCCCGAGCUACAGAGCUGCGGGAAAACAUGAGAACAGGGUCCCUUCUCUACAGGAGGCAGAGGCGACGGAAGAUGCCUUUGCUUUGCAGCAACAGCAAAAGCAGAGCCAUUGCCCGGCCAGGCCCCAAAUGGCCCGAUUGCCUGCAAAUAUCCAGGUCACAAAGCAGGCUAGUUAG